rnacentral:rRNA from 1 species
GUGGGGAAUAUUGGACAAUGGGCGAAAGCCUGAUCCAGCCAUGCCGCGUGUGUGAAGAAGGUCUUCGGAUUGUAAAGCACUUUAAGUUGGGAGGAAGGGCAGUAAGUUAAUACCUUGCUGUUUUGACGUUACCGACAGAAUAAGCACCGGCUAACUUCGUGCCAGCAGCCGCGGUAAUACGAAGGGUGCAAGCGUUAAUCGGAAUUACUGGGCGUAAAGCUCGCGUAGGUGGUUUUGUAAGUUGGAGGUGAAAUCCCCGGGCUCAACCUGGGAACUGCCUCCAAAACUGCAUGACUAGAGUACGGUAGAGGGUAGUGGAAUUUCCUGUGUAGCGGUGAAAUGCGUAGAUAUAGGAAGGAACACCAGUGGCGAAGGCGACUACCUGGACUGAUACUGACACUGAGGUGCGAAAGCGUGGGGAGCAAACAGGAUUAGAAACCCCGGUAGUCC